CCGCGCUGUAAACGUUGUAUGCUGGACAUUGGUGAUAUACUGUCAGUGUCUGAGGGAAACCAUUAAGCAUACCACCUGGGGAGUACGCCGGCAACGGUGAAACUCAAAGGAAUUGACGGGGGCCCGCACAAGCGGAGGAACAUGUGGUUUAAUUCGAUGAUACGCGAGGAACCUUACCCGGGAUUGAAAUGUAGGAGUUAGAUGAUGAGAGUCAUUGUCCCUUCGGGGCUCCUAUGUAGGUGCUGCAUGGUUGU
rnacentral:rRNA from 1 species